AAGAAAAUGCUCGAAAAGCCAAGCACGAAGGACAGAGACAGCUCUUUCAGGUAAACCUCUUUGGGGUCUCCAAGCAUUUGGUUGCAUCAUUCCUAGCUGUUGCAGCGCGCGUUGUUGCCUUAGAUGAUGGUCCACAAAUUUGAGUCUUGAGCCUUCAAUUUUCCCUCCCAAGCCUUCAUCUUCACCUAAACUCUUGCUCGUCGCCUUCACUUGCUCACUAAUUGCAUCCUUUAGGCAUCUGAAUUGCUUUGAAAUUGCAUGCAAAGCUAAUUGAGUGUAUGAUUUUGCUGAUCCAACUCCUGCUACUUGCUCAAAUGAUGAUACAAUUAUUUGCAUUUGGUGAUGGUACUGUCUGUACCUUUGCUCCACCUCUUCAAGCAUGGCAAGAAGCUUGGCUUUUUUCAUUUGAAGUUCUUGUCUUUGA
rnacentral:misc_RNA from 1 species